rnacentral:rRNA from 1 species
GACGAACGCUGGCGGCGUGCUUAACACAUGCAAGUCGAGCGAGGCCCCUUCUUCGGGAGGGUGUUCUAGCGGCGAACGGGUGAGUAACACGUGGGCAACCUGCCCUCAGCUCUGGGAUAACUCCAAGAAAUUGGGGCUAAUACCGGAUAUGACCGCUGACCGCAUGGUCUGGUGGUGGAAAGAUUUAUCGGCUGGGGAUGGGCCCGCGGCCUAUCAGCUUGUUGGUGGGGUAGGGCCUACCAAGGCGACGACGGGUAGCCGGCCUGAGAGGGUGACCGGCCACACUGGGACUGAGACACGGGCCCAGACUCCUACGGGAGGCAGCAGUGGGGAAUAUUGCGCAAUGGGCGAAAGCCUGACGCAGCGACGCCGCGUGGGGAUGACGGCCU